AUACGUAGGGUGCAAGCGUUAAUCGGAAUUACUGGGCGUAAAGCGUGCGCAGGCGGUUUUGUAAGACAGUGGUGAAAUCCCCGGGCUCAACCUGGGAACUGCCAUUGUGACUGCAAGGCUGGAGUGCGGCCGAGGGGGGUGGAAUUUCGCGUGGAGCAGUGAAAUGCGUAGAUAUGCGGAGGAACACCGAUGGCGAAGGCAAUCUCCUGGGCCUGCACUGACGCUCAUGCACGAAAGCGUGGGGAGCAAACAGGAUUAGAUACCCUGGUAGUCCACGCCCUAAACGAUGUCAACUGGUUGUUGGGGAUUUAUUUUCUCAGUAACGAAGCUAACGCGUGAAGUUGACCGCCUGGGGAGUACGGCCGCAAGGUUAAAACUCAAAGGAAUUGACGGGG
rnacentral:rRNA from 1 species